rnacentral:rRNA from 1 species
AUUGAACGUUGGCGGCAUGCCUUACACAUGCAAGUCGAACGGCAGCGCGGGAGCAAUCCUGGCGGCGAGUGGCGAACGGGUGAGUAAUAUAUCGGAACGUGCCCAGUAGUGGGGGAUAGCCCGGCGAAAGCCGGAUUAAUACCGCAUACGACCUACGGGUGAAAGGGGGGGAUCGCAAGACCUCUCGCCAUUGGAGCGGCCGAUAUCAGAUUAGGGAGUUGGUGGGGUAAAGGCCUACCAAGCCUGCGAUCUGUAGUUGGUCUGAGAGGACGACCAGCCACACUGGGACUGAGACACGGCCCAGACUCCUACGGGAGGCAGCAGUGGGGAAUUUUGGACAAUGGGCGCAAGCCUGAUCCAGCAAUGCCGCGUGCAGGAAGAAGGCCUUCGGGUUGUAAACUGCUUUUGUCAGGGAAGAAAUCCUCUAGGCUAAUACCUUGGGGGGAUGACGGUACCUGAAGAAUAAGCACCGGCUAACUACGUGCCAGCAGCCGCCGCGGUAA